rnacentral:rRNA from 1 species
UCAGUUCGGCUGGACAGGUGACAGGUGCUGCAUGGCUGUCGUCAGCUCGUGUCGUGAGAUGUUGGGUUAAGUCCCGCAACGAGCGCAACCCUUGUCCUUAGUUGCCACCAUUCAGUUGGGCACUCUAAGGAGACUGCCGGGUGUUUAAACCGGAGGAAGGUGGGGAUGACGUCAAGUCCUCAUGGCCCUUAUAUCCAGGGCUACACACACGCUACAAUGGUCGGCACAAUAGGUUGCCAAGUCGUGAGACGGAGCCAAUCCUCCAAAGCCGGCCUCAGUUCAGAUUGCAGGCUGCAACUCGCCUGCAUGAAGUUGGAGUUGCUAGUAAACGCAGGUCAGCUAUACUGCGUUGAAUACGUUCCCGGGGAUU